rnacentral:rRNA from 1 species
AACGAACGCUGGCGGCAGGCCUAACACAUGCAAGUCGAACGCCCCGCAAGGGGAGUGGCAGACGGGUGAGUAACACGUGGGAAUCUUCCCGACGGUACGGAACAGCUCAGGGAAACUUGAGGUAAUACCGUAUACGCCCGAAAGGGGAAAGAUUUAUCGCCGACGGAUGAGCCCGCGUCUGAUUAGCUAGUUGGUGGGGUAAUGGCCCACCAAGGCGACGAUCAGUAGCUGGUUUGAGAGAAUGACCAGCCACACUGGGACUGAGACACGGCCCAGACUCCUGCGGGAGGCAGCAGUGGGGAAUCUUGGACAAUGGGCGCAAGCCUGAUCCAGCCAUGCCGCGUGAGUGACGAAGGUCUUCGGAUUGUAAAGCUCUUUUGGCGGGGACGAUAAUGACGGUACCCGCAGAAUAAGCCCCGGCUAACUUCGUGCCAGCCGCCGCCGUAAAAC